GCAAACUCCGAAUACCUAUGAGUACUAUCCGGGAGACAGACUGCGGGUGCUAACGUCCGUAGUCAAGAGGAAAACAAUCCAGACCGCCAGCUAAGGCCCCAAAAUCAUAGUUAAGUGGGAAACGAUGUGGGAAGGCAUAGACAGCUAGGAGGUUGGCUUAGAAGCAGCCACCCUUUAAAGAAAGCGUAAUAGCUCACUAGUCGAGUCGGCCUGCGCGGAAGAUGUAACGGGGCUAAAACUAUGUGCCGAAGCUGCGGAUGUAUACUUUGUAUACGUGGUAGGGGAGCGUUCUGUAAGCCGAUGAAGGUGUGUUGAGAAGCAUGCUGGAGGUAUCAGAAGUGCGAAUGCUGACGUGAGUAACGACAAAACGGGUGAAAAACCCGUUCGCCGAAAGACCAAGGGUUCCAGUCCAACGUUAAUCGGGGCUGGGUGAGUCGACCCCUAAGGCGAGGCCGAAAGGCGUAGUCGAUGGGAAAAUGGUUAAUAUUCCAUUACUUCUGUGUAAUGCGAUGAGAGGACGGAGAAGGCUAAAUCAGCCUGGCGUUGGUUGUCCAGGUGAAAGGAUGUAGGCAUGUAUCUUAGGCAAAUCCGGGGUACUCUAUGCUGAGAUCUGAUAGCAAGCUGUACUUGUACAGCGAAGUGGUUGAUGCCAUGCUUCCAGGAAAAGUCUCUAAGCUUCAGUUACACAGGAAUCGUACCCGAAACCGACACAGGUGGUCAGGUCGAGUAGACCAAGGCGCUUGAGAGAACUCUGCUGAAGGAACUAGGCAAAAUGGUACCGUAACUUCGGGAGAAGGUACGCUGUUGUUGGUGAUGGAACUCGCUUCCUGAGCUGACGACAGCCGCAGAAACCAGGCCGCUGCAACUGUUUAUUAAAAACAUAGCACUCUGCAAACACGAAAGUGGACGUAUAGGGUGUGAUGCCUGCCCGGUGCUGGAAGGUUAAUUGAUGGGGUUAGCGUAAGCGAAGCUCUUGAUCGAAGCCCCAGUAAACGGCGGCCGUAACUAUAACGGUCCUAAGGUAGCGAAAUUCCUUGUCGGGUAAGUUCCGACCUGCACGAAUGGCAUAAUGAUGGCGGCGCUGUCUCCAGCAGAGGCUCAGUGAAAUCGAAAUCGCUGUGAAGAUGCAGUGUACCCGCGGCUAGACGGAAAGACCCCGUGAACCUUUACUGCAGCUUGACACUGAACUUUGACCUUACUUGUGUAGGAUAGGUGGGAGGCUUUGAAGCUGGAACGCUAGUUCCAGUGGAGCCGUCCUUGAAAUACCACCCUGGUAAUGUUGAGGUUCUAACUCUGUCCCGUGAUCCGGGACGAGGACCGUGUCUGGUGGGUAGUUUGACUGGGGCGGUCUCCUCCUAAAGAGUAACGGAGGAGUACGAAGGUGCGCUCAGCGUGGUCGGAAAUCACGCGUAGAGUAUAAAGGCAAAAGCGCGCUUAACUGCGAGACCCACAAGUCGAGCAGGUACGAAAGUAGGUCUUAGUGAUCCGGUGGUUCUGUAUGGAAGGGCCAUCGCUCAACGGAUAAAAGGUACUCUGGGGAUAACAGGCUGAUACCGCCCAAGAGUUCAUAUCGACGGCGGUGUUUGGCACCUCGAUGUCGGCUCAUCUCAUCCUGGGGCUGAAGCAGGUCCCAAGGGUAUGGCUGUUCGCCAUUUAAAGAGGUACGCGAGCUGGGUUUAGAACGUCGUGAGACAGUUCGGUCCCUAUCUACCGUGGGCGCUGGAAAUUUGAGAGGAUCUGCUCCUAGUACGAGAGGACCAGAGUGGACGAACCUCUGGUGUACCGGUUGUGACGCCAGUCGCAUCGCCGGGUAGCUAUGUUCGGAAGGGAUAACCGCUGAAAGCAUCUAAGCGGGAAGCCUACCUCAAGAUAAGAUUUCCCUAGGACUUUAUGUCCUCUAAAGAGCCGUUCGAGACUAGGACGUUGAUAGGUUGGAUGUGGAAGCAUAGUGAUAUGUGAAGCUGACCAAUACUAAUUGCUCGUGAGGCUUGACU
rnacentral:rRNA from 1 species